UGGGGAAUAUUGCGCAAUGGGGGAAACCCUGACGCAGCGACGCCGCGUGCGGGAUGAAGGCCUUCGGGUUGUAAACCGCUUUUGAUUGGGAGCAAGCUUUCGGGUGAGUGUACCUUUCGAAUAAGCGCCGGCUAACUACGUGCCAGCAGCCGCGGUAAUACGUAGGGCGCAAGCGUUAUCCGGAAUUAUUGGGCGUAAAGCGCGCGUAGGCGGUUUUUUAAGUCUGAUGUGAAAGCCCACGGCUCAACCGUGGAGGGUCAUUGGAAACUGGAAAACUUGAGUGCAGAAGAGGAAAGUGGAAUUCCAUGUGUAGCGGUGAAAUGCGCAGAGAUAUGGAGGAACACCAGUGGCGAAGGCGACUUUCUGGUCUGUAACUGACGCUGAUGUGCGAAAGCGUGGGGAUCAAACAGG
rnacentral:rRNA from 1 species